rnacentral:rRNA from 1 species
GCAGUCGACGGCAGCRCRGCWGUAGCAAUACUGUGGGUGGCGAGUGGCGGACGGGUGAGGAAUGCAUCGGAAUCUGCCCAUUUGUGGGGGAUAACGUAGGGAAACUUACGCUAAUACCGCAUACGUCCUACGGGAGAAAGUGGGRGACCKYMRGGCCUCACGCAGAKAGAUGAGCCGAYGCCGGAUUAGCUAGUUGGCGGGGUAAAGGCCCACCAAGGCGACGAUCCGUAGCUGGUCUGAGAGGAUGAUCAGCCACACUGGAACUGAGACACGGUCCAGACUCCUACGGGAGGCAGCAGUGGGGAAUAUUGGACAAUGGGCGCAAGCCUGAUCCAGCCAUGCCGCGUGUGUGAAGAAGGCCUUCGGGUUGUAAAGCACUUUUGUCCGGAAAGAAAAGCAUUCGGUUAAUAACCSGGKGUYAUGACGGUACCGGAAGAAUAAGCACCGGCUAACUUCGUGCCAGCAGCCGCGGUAAUACGAAGGGUGCAAGCGUUACUCGGAAUUACUGGGCGUAAAGCGUGCGUAGGUGGUUCGUUAAGUCUGAUGUGAAAGCCCUGGGCUCAACCUGGGAAUGGCAUUGGAUACUGGCGACCUAGAGUGCGGUAGAGGGGUGUGGNAUUCCCGGUGUAGCAGUGAAAUGCGUAG